rnacentral:rRNA from 1 species
UACGUAGGGUGCGAGCGUUAAUCGGAAUUACUGGGCGUAAAGCGUGCGCAGGCGGUUUUGUAAGCCAGAUGUGAAAUCCCCGGGCUUAACCUGGGAAUGGCAUUUGGGACUUGCAAGGCUUGAGUGCGGCAGAGGAGACUGGAAUUCCUGGUGUAGCAGUGAAAUGCGUAGAGUAUCAGGAGGAACACCGAUGGCGAAGGCAGGUCUCUGGGCUGACACUGACGCUCGAUGCAUCG